CCUUGCCACUAGUUGCUGGCUCAGAAGCUACUUUCCGGCUCUAACUCAGAUGUGACAAGUGCCGUGAAGCAGUAGAAGUAAUUUGAAGAAAAUUUGAACGAACAAAUGGCUUUAGCUGGCUGCCCAGACUCCUUUCUACAUCUUCCAUACCGGCUUGACAAUGUAGAUCAGACUUCAACUCAUGCUCGACGAGACUUGGUGGAACCAGGAUUCCAAGAACCUUCUAAUCGCAUCUCCCUGAAUCACCAAGAUGACGAUGUGGACCUAGAAGCUUUGGUAAACGACAUGAACUCCUCAUUUGAAAGCUUGUACACUACCUGCAGUAUGCAGUCAGAAACCACUCCACUUCUUCAAAACGGUCAAUUUAAUCGCAGCCAAUUGCCAUCCUCAGGAACAAGUUCACUUCACCCUAUGUCUCCAAGGCAGAAGGUGCAGCGAUCUCAGCCAGUACGCAUUAUAGCAGUGAGACGUCUACAAGAAGAAGAGCAACAGUUCAGAACAUCAUCCUUGCCUGCCAUACCAAAUCCAUUUCCAGAGCUCUGCAGUCCUACAAGCUCUCCAGUGCUGACCCCUGGGUCUUUACCUCAAAGUCAACCUGCUAUUAAGCAUGAUGUAAAAGUCUUUAGUGAAGAUGGAACAAGCAAAGUGGUCGAGAUUCUAGCAGACAUGACAGCCAGGGACCUCUGCCAGCUGCUCGUUUACAAAAGUCAUUGUGUGGAUGAUAACAGCUGGACCCUAGUGGAGCAUCACCCUCAACUAGGAUUAGAGAGAUGCUUAGAAGACCAUGAACUCAUAGUCCAAGUCGAGUCCACAAUGGGAAGUGAAAGUAAAUUUUUGUUCAGGAAGAAUUAUGCAAAAUACGAAUUUUUUAAAAGUCCUAUGAAUUUCUUUCCAGAGCAGAUGGUGGCUUGGUGUCAGCAAUCAAAUGGCAGUAUCCCACAAUCCCAGCUCCUGCAGAAUUUUUUGAACUCCAGUAGCUGCCCUGAAAUUCAAGGUUUCUUGCACGUCAAAGAGCUAGGUCGGAAAUCAUGGAAGAAAUUGUAUGUAUGUUUGAGGAGGUCGGGACUUUAUUGCUCUACGAAAGGAACUUCAAAGGAGCCAAGACAUUUGCAGUUGUUAGCCGACCUAGAAGACAGCAAUAUUUUCUCAUUGAUAGCAGGCAAGAAAUUGUAUAAUGCUCCAGCAGACUAUGGAUUUUGCAUAAAGCCCAACAGAGUGAGAAAUGAACCUAAGGAGCUGAGAUUGCUGUGUGCAGAAGAUGAGCAGAGCAGGACAUGUUGGAUGACAGCAUUUAGACUCCUCAAGUAUGGAAUGCUACUGUAUCAGAACUACAGAAUCCCCCAGCAGAGAAAAGCCCUGAUUCCACACUUCUCCACUCCAGUGAGAAGCGUAUCCGAAAACUCGCUAGUAGCAAUGGAUUUUUCGGGACAAAUAGGAAGAGUUAUUGAAAAUCCUGCAGAAGCACAGUGUGCCGCCUUAGAAGAAGGACAUGCUUGGAGGAAACGCAGCACAAGAAUGAACAUCUUAGGUAGCCAAAGUCCACUCCAUCCUUCCACACUGAGCACAGUUAUCCAUAAGACACAGCACUGGUUUCAUGGAAGAAUCUCUCGAGAAGAAUCUCACAGGAUUAUUAAACAACAAGGGCUUGUGGAUGGGCUAUUUCUCCUCCGGGACAGCCAAAGCAACCCAAAGGCAUUUGUACUAACACUGUGUCACCAUCAAAAAAUUAAGCAUUUUCAAAUCUUACCGUGUGAGGACGAUGGACAAAUAUUUUUCAGCCUCGAUGAUGGGAAUACCAAAUUCACUGAUCUAAUUCAGCUUGUCGAGUUCUACCAACUAAACAAAGGAGUCUUGCCCUGCAAACUCAAACACCACUGCAUCCGAGUGGCCUUAUGACGUCAAAUCUGACCCUCACCGAAGACUGGAUUUGCUAGAAGGAGAAUUGUUAAGAGAAAGUUGACACUGGGGAAUUGGCAGAUUUGUAAGUUGGUAAAAAUAUUAUGCACCUUGGGACUCUGAAAGGGAUUGGAUUCAGUUGGUGCCAACAGACCAAGAUUACUGGUUUGUCCAACACCUAAGAGUGAUUGCUGCUGAGUGUCCCAGCAUCCCAAAAAUGUGGGGGGAGGGUAUGAAAAAAUCAUUAGCAAAUUUGUAACAAAACUGGAAGCUAUCUUGGCUGGGCCACUUAACAAACAAGUUGUGAAGAGAAAUCUUUGAAAAGAACUCUUGCCCUGGAAUAAUCUUGACAAUUAAGACUAGUGUGUUUACCUUUUGUAUUGAUCACUUUUUUUGCACUCCUACUUUGUUUCAAAUAUUGUAUGCAGCCUAUAUUAGGAGCUGAUGUGGCUUUUAAAUUCAUGCAGGAGUUGGGUAUUAAUCUAAACCCUAACAUGUAUGGAACGCUUCAGCCUAAAAAGGAUCUAGAAGAAAACCCAGAAGUGUUUGCACGCGCGUGUAUGUGUGUGCGCAUGUCCAUGCACACAUACACGCGUGUGCGUGCGUGCGUGCGUGCGUGCGUGUGUGUGUGUGUGUGUGAAAACUUCUCUGGAGACCUGAGGUUGUCACCUGCAGAUGUCUUUUGAAAAAGGUAUAUGGAUACAGUUCUAAAAGAACAUACCACCAUAUGUACUCUUAGAACUGUUGACUUUUAGCAUAAUGGCUGUAGUAUGUUUAUGGCAUAUUAGUGGUACCCAGUCAUGCAAAGACUGUGUUAGUCAGACUCUAUGCACAAAUGUUGAACCUUUUUAUUAUUGAUGUGGUGGUUUGUUUGUUUUUCAGCCUAUUGACUUUGUUUUCCUAGGGAUAUUUACUGUUAUUAAAUAGAAUUGGGCUGAAUGACCACACUUGUAUUUGGAACCAGCUGUUUUUGUGUGAACAAUACUUAUGCUGAUAAUCUACUUAGUCUGACAAAAGACCAGUGUUUUUUAGCUUUAUAUCUCCUUGAAUUUUCGGACUGUUUCAAAGAGCUAUCUUUUCUUAUAACAAACCUACAGUAACGAUGAUAAAGCUCUUCUGGGGAAUAGAACUUGAAAAGAACUGUACCCCUUUUCCUUUCUGUAGGAUCAUGUGAAAGUUUACAUGGUGAGAAACAAGUACAAACUGGGAUUGGAAACUCAUUUGAUUAUGACUGGUAUUUCUGAUUUUACUGCUGGCAAUAUCCUCCAUCAAGCUAAAGUGAACUGUUUUGAGAAAGUGACCACCUUCAAAGUGGCAAAAAUCUUACUUGAGCAGGUUACUGCUUUUUCUUCUUUUUGCUGGAAAGUGGUCAGUGCCACCCUAACAGUUUUCCAGCAGAUUCAGCUGGCUGCCAGCUCCGAAUACCAAGGACUGAAGGACAUUUGACUCUUAUUUUUGUAUUUAAAUGACAUGAAUGUAAAGGGGGAUGCUCAGGGUUGUUUUGGAGCCUGUUGAAUUUUUAUCUUUUUUGCCUGUGAUUUUAUUUUCUAAAUAAAUACUUCAUGUAGCAAUCUUGAAUAUGUUGAGAAGGAAAAUGCCAAACCAUUUUGGUAAUAAAGUUACUAGUUAAGUUAUGUUAUGAUAGGUGUUAAAGUACAAAAACUUUUAUUUGUUAAUUAAUCUUGAAGAAACACGUGCCUCAGUUUAGAUGUUUUGUCUUAUCUUUUCUGCACUAAAUACCUGACAGUUUGACCAAUCAAUGCACCUUUCCAGUGGCAAGACUUGCUUAUCGUAAAUUAUAUUGUCACAAUGCAAGAUUUAGUGACUGUAAAAUGGAAUAAAGUUAAAGUUUUCAGGGAAUGCAAAAGGUAUUAACUUAAGAGACAAAACCAUUAUUCAGUAUGCUUUGCUUCAUACUGUAAAUAGCUUUUUGGCUUGUGAACCUAAUUGUAAUCUUUCAGGUAUUUUUGUACAAAUAAGGGACUGAUAUUCUGUUUCUUGUAAUUAGAAAUAAACAUUAAUACAAUGCUAUUCAUUUUACGUUGGCCCUCAUGUCUUCCCCCACCCCCUCUUCUUUGUUUUUGAAAUGCCUUGAUUCUAACAAUUUCAGCU